rnacentral:rRNA from 1 species
GACGAACGCUGGCGGCGUGCUUAACACAUGCAAGUCGAACGGAAAGGCCCUGCUUUUGUGGGGUGCUCGAGUGGCGAACGGGUGAGUAACACGUGAGUAACCUGCCCUUGACUUUGGGAUAACUUCAGGAAACUGGGGCUAAUACCGGAUAGGAGCUCCUGCUGCAUGGUGGUGGUUGGAAAGUUUCGGCGGUUGGGGAUGGACUCGCGGCUUAUCAGCUUGUGGGGGGGGUAGUGGCUUACCAAGGCUUUGGCGGGUAGCCGGCCUGAGAGGGUGACCGGCCACAUUGGGACUGAGAUACGGCCCAGACUCCUACGGGAGGCAGCAGUGGGGAAUAUUGCACAAUGGGCGGAAGCCUGAUGCAGCAACGCCGCGUGCGGGAUGACGGCCUUCGGGUUGUAAACCGCUUUCGCCUGUGACGAAGCGUGAGUGACGGUAAUGGGUAAAGAAGCACCGGCUAACUACGUG